GAGAACUGUUUUGUCAAGGAAUGGAAUGAGAGAGUAACGUCUUGAAACAUUCCCGAUAAGACUCCGACUUGCGAUGGAUUUGGCAAAAGUCCGUGGUAAGAAGCUCGGUGAAGGCGGCAUUGAAAUAUAUGGCCGGUCGUCCGAAAA
rfam:Firmicutes bacterium M10-2 genomic scaffold acPFH-supercont1.2, whole genome shotgun sequence.